CAGUAGCCGCGGGAAUACGAAGGGAGCUAGCGUUGUUCGGAUUUACUGGGCGUAAAGGGCGCAUAGGCGGACUGAUAAGUCAGGGGUGAAAUCCCAAGGCUCAACCUUGGAACUGCCUUUGAUACUGUUUGUCUUGAGUUCGAGAGAGGUAAGUGGAAUUGCGAGUGUAGAGGUGAAAUUCGUAGAUAUUCGCAAGAACACCAGUGGCGAAGGCGGCUUACUGGUCUGUAACUGACGCUGAGGAGCGAAAGCGUGGGGAGCGAACAGGAUUAGAUACCCCUGUAGUCCCUGUCUCUUAUAC
rnacentral:rRNA from 1 species